UGCCCCUCACUUGCCAAUACGUCUAGAUCAGCCAGGGCGUCGGCAUGUGUAGCGUAUUAUGUUGGGCUCUCUCGAGAUAAGGAUACGAUGUCCCUUUAUCGGUUGGUUUCCUGUGUGCGCGGCCCGUUCGUUUUUUUGUUACUUCGCAUCGUUCGGUGCAUUCUGGGGGCUGUGUUGGCUUUUGGUGGCUUGCUUGGCCUUUUGGCUUUGCUUGUUGCUACUUGUCGGGCUGCUUUCGGGAAUGUCGACCGUGGAGGUGCAUGAGUGGUGUUUGGUUUGUUACGUGUGGAUGGCUGUUUGCUUGUGCAACAACGUUCACGCUGCAUACCUCUUCAGUUUUGCGGCAAGGCUUGGUUUGGCUUGUGCAUAUUGUGGGUUUCCUGUGUUGCAUACCUAGUUGAUGGAAAAGUGUGGGUUUUACGAUUUUCAUUUUCGUCUUGCGUCGUUCUUUCGGCGUGGGAUGAACAAUGAAGCGAUCUUUAUGAUCCAUCGUGCUGUUGCGUUUGCAACAAUGAUGUGGCCUAUGAAGCAUCGUUUGGUCUCUUGUAUACGGAAGCUCAUUUGGGCUUGGGUCUUUAUAAGAUCUUCGUUACGCCCUUGUUAAGCGUUCUCGCUUCUCCUAAACGAUUG
rnacentral:misc_RNA from 1 species